rnacentral:tRNA from 2 species
GCCGGCGUAGCUCAGCUGAUAGAGCAUCUCACUUGUAAUGAGAAUGUCGGGGGUUUGAUUCCCUCCGCCGGCUCCA